GAUGAACGCUGGCGGCGUGCCUAAUACAUGCAAGUCGAGCGAAUGGAUUAAGAGCUUGCUCUUAUGAAGUUAGCGGCGGACGGGUGAGUAACACGUGGGUAACCUGCCCAUAAGACUGGGAUAACUCCGGGAAACCGGGGCUAAUACCGGAUAACAUUUUGAACCGCAUGGUUCGAAAUUGAAAGGCGGCUUCGGCUGCAACUUAUGGAUGGACCCGCGUCGCAUUAGCUAGUUGGGGAGGUAACGGCUCACCAAGGCAACGAUGCGUAGCCGACCUGAGAGGGUGAUCGGCCACACUGGGACUGAGACACGGCCCAGACUCCUACGGGAGGCAGCAGUAGGGAAUCUUCCGCAAUGGACGAAAGUCUGACGGAGCAACGCCGCGUGAGUGAUGAAGGCUUUCGGGUCGUAAAACUCUGUUGUUAGGGAAGAACAAGUGCUAGUUGAAUAAGCUGGCACCUUGACGGUACCUAACCAGAAAGCCACGGCUAACUACGUGCCAGCCGCCGCUGUAA
rnacentral:rRNA from 1 species